rnacentral:snoRNA from 1 species
CCCCCCUGGAUUCCUUACCCCUCAGUCCUACAGAUUGGUCUGAGUGGCUAAAAAAGGGAAGAAGAGUAAAACUGAAAUGGACUUGGAGGUUUUAGCGACAUAUAAGUUCAUUUCCCUUUCUG